UUAUCGGAGAGUUUGAUCCUGGCUCAGGACGAACGCUGGCGGCGUGCCUAAUACAUGCAAGUCGAGCGGACAGAUGGGAGUUUGCUCCCUGAUGUUAGCGGCG
rnacentral:rRNA from 1 species